AUGGAGACAACACUGCGUCGCUCAAAGGCCGGCUGCGAGCGCUUGGGAGCGGUGCACGCAGGUGCCUGGCACACGGGAGGGACCCAUAGAGUGGCAGCUUUGCCAUUCCCAUCCCUGGCUCCAUCACUAAGUGACCAUGUGAUCUUUCUGAUUCUUAGGGACUCCGUUUUCUGGCCUGUGAAGUUGGGACCAGCCCGAUGGCCUCGAAGAUUGCAAGUGGGCUCAGCUGGACGACGACAUGACCUGAAGCAGGAAUGGGAAGAUGAGCGGAGUCUGCCCGCUCCUGGGGUGGAACUGGAAGAGAGGGGAAGGACCAUGUGGUUUUGCUUUUCCUUGAGGGUGAUCUCACUUCCGGCGGGCAGGGGGCAUGUGGGCCACUGCGCCUGUGGAUGAGGUCCAGAGAGAAGCGGAGGCCAACGGCCCAGUUAGGGCUCGCUUCGUCUUGUCCUGCCUGACGAGUGAUCUGCCCUGUGGAGCGACAUGUGUCAACUCAGGCCAGGAC
rnacentral:lncRNA from 12 species